rnacentral:rRNA from 1 species
AUUGAACGCUGGCGGCAGGCUUAACACAUGCAAGUCGAGCGGGGUGAUGGUGCUUGCACUAUCACUUAGCGGCGGACGGGUGAGUAAUGCUUAGGAAUCUGCCUAUUAGUGGGGGACAACAUCUCGAAAGGGAUGCUAAUACCGCAUACGUCCUACGGGAGAAAGCAGGGGAUCACUUGUGACCUUGCGCUAAUAGAUGAGUCUAGGUCGGAUUAGCUAGUUGGUGGGGUAAAGGCCUACCAAGGCGACGAUCUGUAGCGGGUCUGAGAGGAUGAUCCGCCACACCGGGGCUGGGACACGGCCCAGACUCCUACGGGAGGCAGCAGUGGGGAAUAUUGGACAAUGGGGGGAACCCUGAUCCAGCCAUGCCGCGUGUGUGAAGAAGGCCUUAUGGUUGUAAAGCACUUUAAGCGAGGAGGAGGCUCUUUUGGUUAAUACCCAAGAUGAGUGGACGUUACUCGCAGAAUAAGCACCGGCUAACUCUGUGCCAGCAGCCGCCGUAA